CAGCAGCCACGGGAAAACGAGGGGUGCAAGCGUUAUUCGGAUUGAUUGGGUGUAAAGGGUGUGCAGACGGCUUAUUAAGUCACUUGUUAAAUUCUUCGGCCUAACUGAAGGUCUGCAAGUGAUACUGAUGAGCUAGAGGGUGGAAGAGAGAAGUGGAAUUCUCGGAGUAGCGGUAAAAUGCGUAGAUCUCGAGAGGAACACCAAUGGCGAAGGCAGCUUCUUGGUCCAUUCCUGACGUUCAUACACGAAAGCGUGGGGAGCAAACAGGAUUAGAUACCCCCGUAGUCCCUGUCUCUUAUAC
rnacentral:rRNA from 1 species